rnacentral:rRNA from 1 species
UACGUAGGGUGCGAGCGUUAAUCGGAAUUACUGGGCGUAAAGCGUGCGCAGGCGGUUCGUUGUGUCUGAUGUGAAAGCCCCGGGCUCAACUUGGGAACGGCAUUGGAAACUGGCGAGCUAGAGUGUGGCAGAGGGGGGUGGAAUUCCGCGUGUAGCAGUGAAAUGCGUAGAGAUGCGGAGGAACACCGAUGGCGAAGGCAGCCCCCCUGGGCUGACACUGACGCUCAGGCACGAAAGCGUGGGGAGCAAACAGG